AUGCACCAUGCAUGACAAAGAUUCACCAAUUUAGACUUUCAAUUCAUCAACUCUCUUAGGACAAGCAAGGUUACAUUGGUAACAUUAAUACAAACAGACCAAUAUACAUUGUAAAAUUAGCAUAGUUUCGUAACACUGUAGCUCAAGAAAU